rnacentral:rRNA from 1 species
UACGUAGGGUGCGAGCGUUGUCCGGAAUUACUGGGCGUAAAGAGUUCGUAGGCGGUUUGUCGCGUCGUUCGUGAAAACUUGGGGCUUAACUCCAAGCGUGCGGGCGAUACGGGCAGACUUGAGUACUACAGGGGAGACGUGGAAUUCCUGGUGUAGCGGUGAAAUGCGCAGAGUAUCAGGAGGAACACCGGUGGCGAAGGCGGGUCUCUGGGUAGUAACUGACGCUGAGGAACGAAAGCGUGGGUAGCGAACAGG